rnacentral:rRNA from 1 species
UACGGAGGGGGCUAGCGUUGUUCGGAAUUAUUGGGCGUAAAGGGUGCGUAGGCGGUCUGAUAAGUCAAAUGUGAAAUCCUCGGGCUCAACCUGAGAACUGCGUUUGAAACUUUCAGACUUGAAUGUGAGAGAGGGUAACGGAAUUUUUGGUGUAGGGGUGAAAUCCGUAGAUAUCAAGAGGAACGUCAGGGGCGAAAGCGGUUACCUGGAUCACUAUUGACGCUGAGGCACGAAAGCGUGGGGAGCAAACAGG